UCUAACCCUAAUAACGACGCUGCCAGUCACGGCCAUCACCUGCCAGGGACGGUCGUCAUCGUCUGCCAUUGUCGUCGCCGUCCACGACCUUUUCCCUUUCUCUCUCUUUUGAUCUCACAUUUUCUCUCCCCCUCUCUCUAACCCUAAUAACGCCGCCUGCUUGUCACCGUCGUCACUUACCAGUCACCGUCGCCACCGUAUGCCGUUGCCGUCGCCGGACUAUCUGACAAUUUGAGAAUCAAUAUCAACAUUCAAAGGCGGAGUUUCUUCGUACUCAGCCACCCAACACACAGCUGACAGAAGAACAAAUAGAGGAAGGGUGGCUUGAGAGUGUUGUGGAUGUUUACGAGGGGUGAAGUAGUCUAAUGUUGUAGACUAACUUAGUGUAGACUAGUUUAAUGUUUUGUGGAUGUUUACAAAUGUUGAAGUAUUUUAAUGUUGUUUUGAUGUUUGCGAGGGGUGAAGUAGUCUAAUGUUGUAGACUAACUUAAUGUAGACUAGUUUAAUGUUUUGAGGAUGUUUACAAAUGUUGAAGUAGUUUAAUGUUGUUUUGAUGUUUGCGAAGGUUGAAGUAGCUUAAGUCUCUUGUGAAUGUUUGAUUGAUGUUUUUAUUCAACUUUGAAGUAGUUUCAAAUUGAAUUUGAUGUAUUGGUGGUUGUAGUAUAUGUGUUGUAAUAGUAGUUUAA